rnacentral:rRNA from 1 species
ACGAACGCUGGCGGCGUGGAUAAGACAUGCAAGUCGAACGAUCACUGGUGGGUAGCAAUAUUCGCUAGUGGGAGUGGCGCAAGGGUGCGUAACACGUGGGUAAUUUGCCAGUGAAGUCUGGGAUAACUUGCUGAAAGGCGAGCUAAUACCGGAUGUGAUUACUGGAAGGCAUCUUCUGGUACUUAAAGUCGGGGACCGUAAGGCCUGACACUUCUUGAUAAGCCCGCGGCCUAUCAGCUAGUUGGGAGGUAACGGCUCACCAAGGCUAAGACGGGUAGCUGGUCUGAGAGGACGACCAGCCACACUGGAACUGAGACCACGGUCCAGACACCUACGGGUGCCGCAGCAGUCGAGAAUUUUCUCAAUGGGGGAAACCCUGAAGGAGCGACCGCCGCGUGGGGGAUGAAUGGCUUCGGCCCGUAAACCCCUGUCAUUUGCGAUCAAACCUUACGACUUUAACACGUCGUAAGCUGAUAGUAGCGGAAAGAGGAAGGGACGGCUAACUCUGUGCCAGCAGCCGCGGUAAUACAGAGGGUCCCAAGCGUUGUUCGGAUUCACUGGGCGUAAAGGGUGCGUAGGCGGUCGGGUAAGUCUGACGUGAAAUCUUCAGCUCAACUUGGAAACUGCGUCGGAUACUAUUCGGCUAGAGGAAUGGAGGGAGACUGGAAUACUUGGUGUAGCAGUGAAAUGCGUAGAUAUCAAGUGGAACACCAGUGGCGAAGGCGAGUCUCUGGACAUUUCCUGACGCUGAGGCACGAAAGCCAGGGGAGCAAACGGAUUAGAUACCCCGGUAGUCCUGGCCCUAACGGUGCACGUUUGCUGUAAGAGGAAUCGACCCCUUUGUGGCGAAGCUAACACGUUAAACGUGCCGCUGGAAGUACGGCCGCAAGGUUAAAACUCAAAGAAUUGACGGGGGCCAUGCACAAGCGGUGGAGUAUGUGGCUUAAUUCGAUGCAACGCGAAGAACCUUACUGGCCUUGACAUGGCACAUAGUAGAAGCCUGAUAAGGGUGACGAGGUAGCAAUACCAGUGUGCACAGGUGCUCUGGGCUGUCCGUCAGCUCGUGUCGUGAGAUGUUGGGUUAAGUCCCGCAACGAGCGCAACCCCUGUGUCCUGUUGCCACCCCUUCAUUGGGAGCACUCUGGACAGACUGCCUCGCUGUCAACGAGGAGAAGGUGGGGGAUGACGGUCAAGUCAGUAUGGCCCUUACGGCCAGGGCUGCACACGUACUACAAUGCCCGGCACAAAGGGAAGCAAGACCGUUAGGUGUGAGCACAAUCCCAGACAGAAAACCGGGCCCAGUUCAGAUUGUCGUCUGCAACUCGGACGGCCAUUGAAGCUGGAAUCGCUUAGUAAUGGCGCAUCAGCUACGUCGGCCGCCGUUGAAUACGUUCCCAGGCCUUGUACACACCGCCCGUCACAUCAUGAAAGCCGGUUGUACCCGAAGUCGCCCCUUAAAAGGUGCCGAAGGUAUGGCUGGUGAUUGGGAAU